rnacentral:rRNA from 1 species
AGAGAGAGACAUGCGCGCAUAUCAAUAAGCGGAGGAAAAGAAACUAACAAGGAUUCCCUUAGUAACGGCGAGUGAAGCGGGAAGAGCUCAAAUUUGAAAUCUUCAAGGUUUUACCUUGACGAAUUGUAGUUUAAAGAAGUGUUUUCUGCUGAAGUUUUGGUAAAAGUUCUUUGGAAUAGGACAUCAUAGAGGGUGAGAAUCCCGUAUUUGACCAUUAUUUUCAGCUUUGUGAUACACUUUCAAAGAGUCGGAUUGUUUGGGAAUGCAGUCCAAAAUGGGUGGUAAAUUUCAUCUAAAGCUAAAUAUUGGCGAGAGACCGAUAGCGAACAAGUACCGUGAGGGAAAGAUGAAAAGAACUUUGAAAAGAGAGUUAAACAGUACGUGAAAUUGUCAAAAGGGAAGCGUUUGACACCAGUGUUGUUUUCUCGAAAAUCAAUUAAAAAUGGCUCGAUUUUGUAUUGUUGAGACCUUAAAAGCUCACUGUACAUUUUUCGUGUCUUUUUUAAUGCACUUUUCGUUUAACAAGUCAACAUCAGUUUCUUUUGUUGUAAAAGGGUCAUUGGAAGGUGGCUUUCUUUUCGGAGAAAGUGUUUAUAGCCUUUGGCCUCUGCAAUCGGAAGAGACUGAGGUCUGCAGCGUAGACUCUUCGGGGUUAGAUACAUUUGUGCUAAGUUAUAGCUUUUUAUAGACAACUUGUUGACUAUAAUUAGUCUUGUAGCUUACUCGCUUAUGCUAUUUUACCUACGCUUAGGAUGUUGAAGAUGUAGCACAUCAU